rfam:Glycine soja cultivar W05 scaffold5053_1, whole genome shotgun sequence.
CUAAGACGGUGCUUACCUCAUCAACGUCUUUGAAAGUAGGCAUUCUAAGACGUUGUUGAUGUAAGCAUCAUCUUAGAAUGCGUACUUUCAAAGACGGUGUUGAUGUAAGCACCGUCCUU